rnacentral:rRNA from 1 species
GACGAACGCUGGCGGCGUGCUUAACACAUGCAAGUCGAACGAUGAAGCCUAGCUUGCUAGGUGGAUUAGUGGCGAACGGGUGAGUAAUACGUGAGUGGCCUACCUUUGACUCUGGGAUAAGCCUGGGAAACUGGGUCUAAUACCGGAUACGACCAAUCUCCGCAUGGGGUGUUGGUGGAAAGCGUUAUGGAGUGGUUUUAGAUGGGCUCACGGCCUAUCAGCUUGUUGGUGAGGUAAUGGCUUACCAAGGCGACGACGGGUAGCCGGCCUGAGAGGGUGACCGGCCACACUGGGACUGAGACACGGCCCAGACUCCUACGGGAGGCAGCAGUGGGGAAUAUUGCACAAUGGGCGCAAGCCUGAUGCAGCGACGCCGCGUGAGGGAUGACGGCCUUCGGGUUGUAAACCUCUGUUAGCAUCGAAGAAGCGAAAGUGACGGUAGGUGCAAAAAAAGCGCCGGCUAGCUACGUGC